rnacentral:lncRNA from 1 species
UAUGUUAUCUCUGUCCUAAUUCAUGAACUCAAGAGAAGUGAUGCAUAAAUUUACUUCCACAUUUGAGAGCUCGACAAUUCCUUACAAACUCAAGUGCUUUGUUUGGUUGGCAUGGUAGAAAAAACAAGACACCAAAGAGGUUCUGAUGAAGAAACCUGGGAAAAACCUUGGCCUUUGUGCCAUUUGCUGUAAAGAACCAGAAACGGCAAAUCAUAUAUUCUCCCCAUGUCC